rnacentral:rRNA from 1 species
AUGAACGCUGGCGGCGUGCCUAAUACAUGCAAGUCGAGCGAACAGACGAGGAGCUUGCUCCUCUGACGUUAGCGGCGGCCGGGUGAGUAACACGUGGAUAACCUACCUAUAAUACUGGGAUAACUUCGGGAAACCGGAGCUAAUACCGGAUAAUAUAUUGAACCGCAUGGUUCAAUAGUUAAAGACGGUUUUGCUGUCACUUAUAGAUGGAUCCGCGCAGCAUUAGCUAGUUGGUAAGUUAACGGCUUACCAAGGCAACGAUGCGUAGCCGACCUGAGAGGGGGAACGGACACACGGGAACGGAGAAACGGUCCAGACACCUACGGGAGGCAGCAGUAGGGAAUCUUCCGCAAGGGGCGAAAGCCUGACGGAGCAACGCCGCGUGAGUGAUGAAGGUCUUCGGAUCGUAAAACUCUGUUAUUAGGGAAGAACAAAUGUGUAAGUAACUAUGCACGUCUUGACGGUACCUAAACAGAAAGCCACGGCUAACUACGUG